rnacentral:misc_RNA from 1 species
GAUGCUCUCAUGAUCAGUUUUGAUGAAAAAAGUGCCUUGCUCUAGAUAAUGUAUCUAUUUAGAGACGGCAAAGGUAAUAGCCAGCAGUUCUUUCUCAUAAACUGAAAGUGCUUGAGUUCUUGGCCCAAAAGGUUUAGAAAUAUAAGCUAUAGGAUGGCCUUGCUGCUGUAAAAUUUCCCCAUGCCCUAAUUGCUAGCAUUAGUUUCUACCACAAAUGGUUUUGUAAGAUUUGGAAGAGCUAGAUCAGGCAGGAGCUUGUGCCAUAGCUAGAACAUCCAGCUCAGCCGACCUCAUAGCUUACUGACCAACUACCAUGGAUCUAGCCAUGAUUUCAACUCCUACCAACUAGGAAUGAAACAAUACCCACUUGUACCGACUCUGAUGCCAAAUGUUAGGGUUUUGGAAACCUAAUAGAGCAUGAAAAGGAAAUUGAAGCAAUUGGAAGAAAUUAGAGUGAGAAAGGACUAGAAUAGGAAGGAAGAAAGAAAGCUUUAUUCCAGAUAUUUCUUGAAUUAUAUCUUUACAAAAGUAUCUUCCUUAUAUAGAAAUUGCCAGUUCAGUGGCAACUGCUUGCAGCCCCUUGUAGCUACUGUUAACUAGCUUCUCAACAGAAUAACUAUAUCCCUUAUGACAACUACCCGAGAUACACUUAUUCUUACACAUUUUCAUUUUCCUUCUCCUCUACUCAGCUUUUCAAUCACUUUUUAUCUACUCAGCUAUACUCAUUUCCCUUUAUUCUUUCUUUCUAUAUCUCCUCCUGUAAUAUGUAACAAAAUUUUACCGUAUACCUAUGAAGUUCUCCCUUUUUAUAUUAAGAGUAUAUAUCUUGUCUAGUUGCUGACUAUAUAAAUUGCAUUUGUUUUCUAUAUUUUAUGAUAGAAAUAAAAUUGCAUGUAAUUUUCAUGAUUUUUGUCCUGUUCUGUGUUUUUAUAAUUAAGUCAAAAAAAAAAAAAAAAGCAAUCAAGAAAGUAAUGGUUACUUUAUAUGAGUAAUAUGGUAUGAAUAUGAUUGUUGAUUUUUCCUUGAGGAUGAUAUGGAGAAAUUUAAAUGUGUCAAUAGCUGCUAUGGAAUGUCCCCCAAAACUGUGUAGUUCAGAAAUCAAUUUACAAAAAAGAAAAAAAAAAAAAUCCUUAAAUCCCAUCAUUUGAUCACUGAAUAAAUUGACAUUGAGCUCCAAAAUCUCUCCAUGAAUUAGUUUGAGCCUUGGAGUGUACCGUUAAAAAUGCUUCAUAUUCUAUUUUUUGUGCCCUAAUCUGUGGGUCUAUUGGAUGUCCCGCUGAGCACAGGCAGCACAACAAGGGUUGCCUGUAUUCUUUCUUAGUUUCGUCCCAGUCCAACAAGCAACAACAAUUCUUCUUUUCUAGAAGGUUGCUACUUGCCUGAGUGUCCAAUCCUUGAACUUCACUGCCCUUGAGCACUUAUGCUGUGUGUGGGAGAGGGGGGAAAGAGAAGGGGAGAGAAAAUGGGGCUAUGGGUCUACAUGUGAAGAAGCAAAUUUGUGGGUCCCUUGACCCAUUCUCUCCCCCUCUCCUUUCUCCCCGCUCCCAAAUACAACAUUAAAGUUGAGGCAAGGAAUACUAGGCCACUGGACAGUUUUUUGCUUUGUCACCUUUUCCAUAUUGCAUCUCCCUUGCAACUUGCAAUUCCAUCUGAACUACAGGUUAAUUGUUGUUGAUUAGUUUAUCAUUUUUCCUUCAUGAUAAAAAUUGGUGGCGUGCACUCUUUAAGUUGUCUAUUUUGCAACUCAAGACCAAAAAUUAAAUAAUCUUAAUUGACCAAUUCUAGUCUAUGAUCAAAAUUUGUACUAUUUUGAUCUUAUCAUAGCAUUUAACUACGAUCAG